UUGGGACAGUACUUAGGGGCAGUUGGGACAGUAGUUAGCGACAGUUGGGACUGUAGUUAGCGGCAGUUGGGACAGUAGUUAGGGGCAGUUGGGACAGUACUUAGCGGCAGUUGGGGCAGUUGGGACAGUAGUUAGCGGCAGUUGGGACAGUAGUUAGCGACAGUUGGGACAGUAGUUAGCGGAAGUUGGGACAGUAGUUAGGGGCAGUUGGGACAGUAGUUAGCGGCAGUUGGGACAGUAGUUAGGGGCAGUUGGGACAGUAGUUUGCAGCAGUUGGGACAGUAGUUAGCGACAAUUGGGACAGUAGUUAGCGGAAGUUGGGACAGUAGUUAGCGACAGUUGGGACAGUAGUUAGCAACAGUUGGGACAGUAGUUGGGGCAGUAGGGACAGUAGUUAGCGACAGUAGGGAUUGUAGUUAGCGGCAGUUGGGACAGUAGUUUGCGCCAUUGGGACAGUAGUUAGCGGCACUUGGGACAGUAGUUAGGGGCAGUUGGGACAGUAGUUAGCGACAGUUGGGACAGUAGUUAGCGGCAGUUGGGACAGUAUUUGGGGCAGUUUGGACAGUAGUUAGGGGCAGUUGGGACAGUAGUUGGGGCAGUUGGGACAGUAGUUAGCGGCAGUUGUGACAGUAGUUGGGGCAGUUGGGGCAGUAGUUAGCGACAGUUGGGACAGUAGUUGAGGCUGUAGUUAGCGGCAGUUGGGACAAUAGUUUGGUGCAGUUGGGACAGUAGGUGGGGCAGUUGGGACAGUAGUUAGAGGUAAUUGGGACAGUAGUUAGGGGCAGUUGGGACAGUAGUUUGGGCAGUUGGGACAGUAGUUAGCGACAGUUGGGACAGUAGUUAGGGGCAGUUGGGACAGUAGUUUGGACAGUUGGGAAAGUACUUAGCGGCAGUUGGGACAGUAGUUAGGGCAGUUGGGACAGUAGUUGGGGCAGUUGGGACAGUAGUUAUGGCAGUUGGGACAGUAGUUGGGGCAGUUGGGAGAGUAGUUAGGGGCAGUUGGGACAGUAGUUGGGGCUGUU
ensembl:lncRNA